rnacentral:rRNA from 1 species
CCUACGGGGGGCAGCAGUGGGGAAUAUUGCACAAUGGGCGAAAGCCUGAUGCAGCAACGCCGCGUGAAGGAAGAAGGUCUUCGGAUCGUAAACUUCUGUCCUUGGGGAAGAUAAUGACGGUACCCUUGGAGGAAGCCCCGGCUAACUACGUGCCAGCAGCCGCGGUAAUACGUAUGGGGCAAGCGUUAUCCGGAUUUACUGGGGGUAAAGGGAGCGCAGGCGGCCUGCCAAGUCUGGAGUGAAAACCCGGGGCC